rnacentral:rRNA from 1 species
CUCCUAAAGCUAAAUACCGGCCAGAGACCGAUAGCGCACAAGUAGAGUGAUCGAAAGAUGAAAAGUACUUUGGAAAGAGAGUCAAAUAGCACGUGAAAUUGUUGAAAGGGAAGCGCUUGCAGCCAGACUUGCCCGCAGUUGCUCACCCAGGCUCUCGCCUGGGGCACUCUUCUGCGGGCAGGCCAGCAUCAGUUUGGGCGGUCGGAUAAAGGCUCCUGUCAUGUACCACCCCUCGGGGUGGCCUUAUAGGGGGGGCGUAAUGCGACCAGCCCGGACUGAGGUCCGCGCAUCUGCUAGGAUGCUGGCGUAAUGGCUGUAAGCGGCCCGUCUUGAAACACGGACCAAGGAGUCUAACAUCUAUGCGAGUGUUUGGGUGUCAAGCCCGGGCGCGCAAUGAAAGUGAACGGAGGUGGGAACCUUUCGGGGUGCACCAUCGACCGAUCCUGAUGUCUUCGGAUGGAUUUGAGUAAGAGCAUAGCUGUUGGGACCCGAAAGAUGGUGAACUAUGCUUGAAUAGGGUGAAGCCAGAGGAAACUCUGGUGGAGGCUCGCAGCGGUUCUGACGUGCAAAUCGAUCGUCAAAUUUGGGCAUA